UAACCAGCCACUUUCAGCCACUGCGCAAAACACAAAAUUCAUCUGGUCACCAAAGGGGAUGAUUUUAGCUCUUGAAAUUGCUCUGUGUGCCAUUGUGACUAUUUGUAAAGCAGUUUCCUUUGAAUGCUACUUGUGGGGCUGCAUUACAGAGCUGGUCUGGGCCAUUCUCAUAUUCAUCGUUUAUGCCAUCGACCUACCUACCUACAUGCACCUAUCACUGAUGUAUUUCCAGUGGCUGGACUUAUUCAGAGCAAUCACAGGAUCAGUCCUCCUUCUUGUUACUUCUCUUAUCUGUCUUAGCUGAGGAUGGAAAAGUUCCGGGGAAGUUGCU